rnacentral:lncRNA from 1 species
GGGGGGGUGUUAUAACCUUCAGGGCACAACCAUCAUGACUCAAGAUAGCGUCUCCGUGCCUGAAAGACCUGGUACAGCUUAUGCAAAAACACUUCAUCCUGCACAGUGUUUAGUUGAGAUGGAACAAAAAGUCAAUAUGAGAGCAGAGAAGCAAAGCUAUGUUCUGCAAGUCCUAAUUAAUCAAUCACCUGGGGCACAGUGAUUUCUAAAACAUGCAAGAAAACAAAGAGGCCCAGCAUAGUGGCUCACACCUG